rnacentral:lncRNA from 1 species
GGGGUGGACAUCUCCAGAGACCUCACUCACCUGUGAUUUGGGGGAUAAUAGCAUCACUCAUGUGUUCACGUGCCAGGCCUGUCACCCCGGAACAUUAGUCAAAGGGCUGUGUUGACAGUGAUUUCAACUCUUGAAUUAUACGAAGGACCUGGCCGCAAGAAGGCAUUGAGCCCCGAGGAGGACAACAGGCCUCAGACCUCUCCAGAGUCCGAUGUCCUUCUGCACAAGUCCUUGUUGUCCAGUCUGUGGCCCAAACACCCACAGGGCAUGGUGGAGGCCUGAGACAGUGCUGGUUUUGCUGGGGCCAUCAGAAAAGCUUACGAAGCAGGCUCGGCCAUUGGCUGGAAGUCACUAGCCCCUGCUGGGCUCAUGCAAUACUCAUGGAACUGGUGUGGGCUCCUGCGGGUUCCCUAUGAGCAAUGCCUCACCCAUUUAAAGCUCGUCAAAGGACUUGUUCAAUA